rnacentral:lncRNA from 1 species
CCAUGACUCGGCCUACAGGCCGUCCUUCUAUUAGCGCUCUUAUGAACAUCGGCCUAACAAAUCUUGUCUGCAUAAUCGAUGGUUUUUCAAAAACCACCGCGUUGACUGGCUUUACAUCUUCUAACUGGAGCUGAGCUGUAAGGAUGUGAAUUCUCGAAAUCCGAGAGUUGAACUUCGUUUGGAAUCGACUUAUCGUCGACUUGGUGGGCUUCGGAGAGCCCGAAUGCGAUAAAAAAAUG